rnacentral:rRNA from 1 species
UACGGAGGGAGCUAGCGUUGUUCGGAAUUACUGGGCGUAAAGCGCACGUAGGCGGCUUUGUAAGUUAGAGGUGAAAGCCCGGGGCUCAACCCCGGAAUUGCCUUUAAGACUGCAUCGCUUGAAUCCGGGAGAGGUGAGUGGAAUUCCGAGUGUAGAGGUGAAAUUCGUAGAUAUUCGGAAGAACACCAGUGGCGAAGGCGGCUCACUGGACCGGUAUUGACGCUGGAGGUGCGAAAGCGUGGGGAGCA